UGGCGAACGGGUGAGUAACACGUGGGUGAUCUGCCCUGCACUUCGGGAUAAGCUUGGGAAACUGUGUCUAAUACCGGAUAGGAGCCAUCUUUAGUGUGGUGGUUGGAAAGUUUUUUCGGUGUAGGAUGAGCUCGCGGCCUAUCAGCUUGUUGGUGGGGUAAUGGCCUACCAAGGCGGCGACGGGUAGCCGGCCUGAGAGGGUGUACGGCCACAUUGGGACUGAGAUACGGCCCAG
rnacentral:rRNA from 1 species